GCAGCAACCUCGCCGGCUGCCGUCGCUGGAAGCCAGACAGCCGCCUCCAACAAGUCGGACCGAAAGCGGCGCCUUCCGCGAAAGAAGAGCGCUGUGAAUUCUUUUACUCCUAUCAGUGGAAAUUUGCAAAGGAAUACACGGAAAAUGUAUGUCCAUACAUUAUGAAGUUACAAGUUAUUUACCACCAUCACCUAUAGGCUGUUUCCUUGCUCAUUAAUGACUUUUUAUUCCUGGAUGUGAAGACCUGUAUCUGCAAAAAAAAAAAAAAAAAAAGCAACAAUAGAAGAACCCUGGAGAUCUACCAUUGUUUUAAAAAAAAUUAAUAAAGACUUCAUCAGAUCAAUA